rnacentral:lncRNA from 1 species
GUCGUAAUACAGUACAUGAUAUAUAAGGCAUGGAGAUGUUAUUGUUACAGAUCAGCUCAAUUAUCUUUACCCGGUGAGGUAAGAACAAAAAAAUUGCGAAAGCAAACUUACAGAUCUAACAUUUGAUGUUUAGACAAGUUGUAUAUACAUAAUGAACACAUCCAUGUAUCACCAUCAUUGCUGGUGAUCCGAUGGAUAAAUCUGUUGCAGAGUUGUCACUGACUCAGACGUACUUAUAUUUGAUUUAAUAUAUAUAGAGAGAAUAUUUAGUUAACCUGAAUGUUAAUAAUAAAAUAGGGAAAUAUAAAAUUCAUGGUUUUAAACAAGGGAAAUAGAAUUUGCAUAAUAAUCCUGCGCCACAUCACAGAAUUUUGCUGGUGCGUUGUUGUUUUCCUAUCUUUUCGGGGUAAGGUAAUAAAUGUGUAUAAACGGGUUCACACAUACACACAUUAUUAUAUUUAAAGCAUAAAAACAAAACUUCUAAAGUGUAAACAAUGAAUGAAAAUAUAAUUUGAUAAUCUAUUUUUCAAUAUCUUUGAUUGAAAAAAUUGAAAAUGUUCCACACAAAAAC